UGGGUAAAGCAAGUCCUCUGC
rnacentral:siRNA from 1 species